GUCUACAGCCAUACUACCCUGAACAAGCCUGAUCCCAUCUGAUCUCAGAAGCUAAGCAGGGCCGGGCCUGGUUAGUACUUGGAUGGAAGACCACCUAGGACGACCAGGUGUUGUAGAUG
rnacentral:rRNA from 1 species